GACAGAGGGGGCAAGCGUUGUUCGGAAUCACUGGGCGUAAAGGGCGCGUAGGCGGCCCUCCUUGUCGCGUGUGAAAGCCCCGGGCUCAACCUGGGAGGUGCGCGCGAGACUGGCCGGCUGGAGUUCGGGAGAGGAGCGUGGAAUUCCCAGUGUAGAGGUGAAAUUCGUAGAUAUUGGGAAGAACACCGGUGGCGAAGGCGGCGCUCUGGACCGAGACUGACGCUGAGGCGCGAAAGCGUGGGGAGCAAACAGG
rnacentral:rRNA from 1 species